rnacentral:rRNA from 1 species
UACGUAGGGGGCAAGCGUUGUCCGGAAUCAUUGGGCGUAAAGCGCGUGUAGGCGGUUCGAUAAGUCUGCUGUGAAAGUCCAGGGCUCAACCCUGGGAUGCCGGUGGAUACUGUCGGACUAGAGUACGGAAGAGGCGAGUGGAAUUCCCGGUGUAGCGGUGAAAUGCGCAGAUAUCAGGAGGAACACCGGUGGCGAAGGCGGGUCUCUGGGCAACAACUGACGCUGAGGAGCGAAAGCGUGGGGAGCGAACAGG